UACGGGGGGGGCAAGCGUUGUUCGGAAUUACUGGGCGUAAAGGGCUCGUAGGCGGCCAACUAAGUCAUACGUGAAAUCCCUCGGCUUAACCGGGGAACUGCGUCUGAUACUGGAUGGCUUGAGUUCGGGAGAGGGAUGCGGAAUUCCAGGUGUAGCGGUGAAAUGCGUAGAUAUCUGGAGGAACACCGGUGGCGAAGGCGGCAUCCUGGGACCAAUUCUGACGCUGAGGAGCGAAAGCCAGGGGAGCAAACGGG
rnacentral:rRNA from 1 species